ACGUAGGCGGACAAAUAAGUUUGAUGUCAAAUAUGAUGGCUCAACCAUCAAGAGGCGUUGAAAACUGUUUAUCUAGAAUCUCGGAGAGGUAAGUGGAAUUCCAUGUGUAGCGGUGGAAUGCGUAGAUAUAUGGAGGAACACCAAUGGCGAAGGCAGCUUACUGGACGAAGAUUGACGCUGAGGUGCGAAAGCGUGGGUAGCAAACAGGAUUAGAUACCCUGGUAG
rnacentral:rRNA from 1 species